UACGGAGGGUGCAAGCGUUAUCCGGAUUCACUGGGUUUAAAGGGUGCGUGGGUGGGCAAGUAAGUCAGUGGUGAAAUCUCCGGGCUUAACCCGGAAACUGCCAUUGAUACUAUUUGUCUUGAAUACUGUGGAGGUCAGCGGAAUAUGUCAUGUAGCGGUGAAAUGCUUAGAUAUGACAUAGAACACCAAUUGCGAAGGCAGCUGGCUACACAAAUAUUGACACUGAGGCACGAAAGCGUGGGGAUCAAACAGG
rnacentral:rRNA from 1 species